UACGUAGGUCCCGAGCGUUGUCCGGAUUUAUUGGGUGUAAAGCGAGCGCAGGUGGUUUAUUAAGUCUGGUGUAAAAGGCAGUGGCUCAACCAUUGUAUGCAUUGGAAACUGGUAGACUUGAGUGCAGGAGAGGAGAGUGGAAUUCCAUGUGUAGCGGUAAAAUGCGUAGAUAUAUGGAGGAACACCGGUGGCGAAAGCGGCUCUCUGGCCUGUAACUGACACUGAGGCUCGAAAGCGUGGGGAGCAAACAGG
rnacentral:rRNA from 1 species